rnacentral:rRNA from 1 species
UACGUAGGGUGCAAGCGUUGUCCGGAAUUAUUGGGCGUAAAGAGCUCGUAGGCGGUCUGUUGCGUCGGCUGUGAAAACCCGGGGCUCAACUCCGGGCCUGCAUUCGAUACGGGCAGGCUAGAGUUCGGUAGGGGAGACUGGAAUUCCUGGUGUAGCGGUGAAAUGCGCAGAUAUCAGGAGGAACACCGAUGGCGAAGGCAGGUCUCUGGGCCGAUACUGACGCUGAGGAGCGAAAGCGUGGGGAGCGAACAGG